GACGUAGGGCGCGAGCGUUGUCCGGAUUUAUUGGGCGUAAAGAGCUCGUAGGCGGCUUGUCGCGUCGACUGUGAAAACCCGCGGCUCAACCGCGGGCUUGCAGUCGAUACGGGCAGGCUAGAGUUUGGUAGGGGAGACUGGAAUUCCUGGUGUAGCGGUGAAAUGCGCAGAUAUCAGGAGGAACACCGGUGGCGAAGGCGGGUCUCUGGGCAUGUCCUGACGCUGAGGAGCGAAAGUGUGGGGAGCGAACAGG
rnacentral:rRNA from 1 species